rnacentral:rRNA from 1 species
AUACGUAGGUGGCAAGCGUUGUCCGGAAUUAUUGGGCGUAAAGCGCAUGUAGGCGGUAAUUUAAGUCUGUCGUGAAACUGCGGGGCUCAGCCCCGUAUGGCGAUGGAAACUGGGUUACUUGAGUGCAGGAGAGGAAAGGGGAACUCCCAGUGUAGCGGGGAAAUGCGUAGAUAUUGGGAAGAACACCGGUGGCGAAGGCGCCUUUCUGGACUGUGUCUGACGCUGAGAUGCGAAAGCCAGGGUAGCGAACGGGAUUAGAUACCCCGGUAGUCCUGGCCGUAAACGAUGGGCGCUAGGUGUGGGAGGUAUCGACCCCUUCCGUGCCGGAGUUAACGCAAUAAGUACCCCGCCUGGGGAGUACGGCCGCAAGGCUUAAACUCAAAGGAAUUGACGGGG